CAGCCGCCGCGGUAAUACGUAGGUGGCAAGCGUUGUCCGGAAUUAUUGGGCGUAAAGGGCGCGUAGGCGGACUGAUAAGUCAGGGGUGAAAUCCCAAGGCUCAACCUUGGAACUGCCUUUGAUACUGUUUGUCUUGAGUUCGAGAGAGGUAAGUGGAACUGCGAGUGUAGAGGUGAAAUUCGUAGAUAUUCGCAAGAACACCAGUGGCGAAGGCGGCUUACUGGCUCGAAACUGACGCUGAGGCGCGAAAGCGUGGGGAGCAAACAGGAUUAGAUACCCCUGUAGUCCCUGUCUCUUAUAA
rnacentral:rRNA from 1 species